GCUUCGAUUAAGAACAAAAAAAGAAAGAUAGUUAGGAUAGGUAGUCCACCCACUAACUAAGUUGUUUGUCGUGGGUGUUUGUUACAUGAUGUGGCCACAUUCUGGGAGUUUAUUGGGAGAUUCCAACUAAUUAGUCACAUGAUGUAACUAGUCGGUGGAUUGAGGUCGGCCCAUUAUUGAGGUGCCAUCCUAAUCAGAUCUGCAACAAGAUGGGUCAUGGGACCUUAUCAUUUGUGGUCGGCGAGAUCCCAACCUGGAGAUCGAAGGGAGUCCGUAUUAGUGUUGGUUACAAAACUUCAUUUUUAUUAUCAGUGAGGUAUCGACCUGAAGGUCGGUGGUAUGCCGAGCUAAGAGUUGGAUGAAAGCCGAUGAGAUUGUUUCAUCUUGACACUCC
rnacentral:lncRNA from 1 species